rfam:Triticum urartu cultivar G1812 contig130191, whole genome shotgun sequence.
UAAGUACUCCCUCCGUUCAGAAUUACUUGUCGUAGAAAUGGAUGUAUCUAAACGUAUUUUAGUUCUAAAUACAUUCAAUUCUGAGACAAGUAAUUCCGAACGGAGGGAGUACUGA